AUGCACAACAUCCAGGCCAUGCACACCCAGGAGAAGGAGCAGAUCAAGACCCUCAGCAAGUAUGCCUCUUUCAUCGACAAGGUAUGGUUCCUGCAGCAGCAGAACAAGAUGCUGGAGACCGAGUGGAGCCUCCUGCAGCAGCAGGAGAUGGCUCGGAGCAACAUGGACAACCUGUUCGAGAGCUACAUCAACAACCUUAGGCAGCAGCUGGAGACUCUGGGCCAGGAGAAGCUGAAGCUGGAGACGGAGCUUGGCAACAUUCAGGGGCUGGUGGAGGACUUCAAGAACGAGAAUGAGGAUGAGAUCAAUGAGCGUACAGAGAUGGCGAAUGAAUUUGUCCUCAUCAAGAAAGAUGUGGAUGAAGCUUACGUGAACAAUGUAGAGUGGGAGUCUUGCCUGGAGGGGCUGACUGACAAGAUCAACUUCCUCAGGCAGCUGUAUGAAGAGGAGAUCCAGGAGCUGCAUUCCCAGAUCUCGGAUACGUCUGUGGUGCUGUCCAUGGACAACAGCCGCUCCCUGGACAUGGACAGCAUCAUCGCUGAGGUCAAGGCGCAGUACGAGGAGAUCGCCAACCGCAGCCUGGCUGAGGCUGAGAGCAUGUACCAGGUCAAGUAUGAGGAGCUGCAGAGCCUGGCUGGGAAGCCCGGGGAUGACCUGCGGCGCACAAAGACUGAGAUCUCCGAGAUGAACCAGAACAUCAGUCGGCUUCAGGCUGAGACUGAGGGCCUCAAAGGCCAGAGGGCUUCCCUGUGGAGGUUGCCAUCGCAGAUGCAGAGCAACGUGGGGAUCUGGCCAUUAAGGAUGCCAAUGUCAAGGGAUACCUCCGAGCUGGAGGCCACCCUGCAGCGAGUCAAGCAGGACAUGGCGAGGCAGUUGCGUGAGUACCAGGAGCUGAUGAACGUCAAGCUGGCCCUGGACAUUGAGAUGUCACCUACAGGAGGCUGCUGGAGGGCGAGGAGAGCCAGCUAGAGUCUGAGAUGCAGAACUUGAGUAUCCAUAUGAAGACCACCAGCGGUUUUGCAGGUGGUCUGAGCUCGGCCUAUGGGGGGCCUCACAAGCCCCGGCCUCAGCUAUGGCCUGGGCUCUGGCCUCUGGCUUUGACGCGGGCUCCAGCUCCUUCAGCUGCACCAGCUCCACCAGGGCCCUGGUUGUGAAGAAGAGCUAGACCCAUGAUGGGAAGCUGGUGUCCGCGUCCUCUGACGUGCUGCCCAAGUGA